rnacentral:rRNA from 1 species
ACCCGACUGCUAUCGGGGUGGGACUAAGCUAUGCAAGUCUGCAUCCCGAGCUAUGGCGGGAUGCGGCGUACGGCUCAGUAACACGUAGUCAACCUGCCCUCGGGUCGGGGAUAACCUCGGGAAACUGAGGGUAAUCCCCGAUAGGGGAAGUGGCCUGGAACGGUACUUCCUCCAAAGAUACAUCCUCCAUGCUGGGUGUAUCGCCCGAGGAUGGGACUGCGUCCGAUCAGGUCGUUGGUGGGGUAACGGCCCACCAAGCCGACGACCGGUACGGGCCGUGUGAGCGGGAGCCCGGAGAUGGGCACUGAGACAAGGGCCCAGGCCCUACGGGGUGCAGCAAGCGCGAAACCUCCGCAAUCCGCGAAAGCGGGACGGGGCCACCCCGAGUGGCACCCCAAAAGGGUGCCUUUUCCCUAGCCUGAACAGCUAGGGGAAUAAGGGGAGGGCAAGGCUGGUGCCAGCCUCCUCUAUGGGCCAUCACACCCUUAGAGGCUGGACGCCGCGGUAAAACCAGCUCCCCGAGUGGUCGGGAUGCUUAUUGGGCCUAAAGCGUCCGUAGCCGGACUGGUAAGUCCCUGGUUAAAUCCGGCGGCUCAACCGUCGGAUCGCUAGGGAUACUACCAGUCUUGGGGGCGGAAGAGGCCGAGGGUACCACAGGGGUAGGGGUGGAAUCCUUUAUCCCUGUGGGACCACCAGUGGCGAAGGCGCUCGGCUAGGACGCGCCCGACGGUGAGGGACGAAACCCAGGGGAGCGAACCGGAUUAGAUACCCGGGUAGUCCUGGGCGUAAACGAUGCGGGCUAGGUGUCGGGGUGGCUUCGGGCUACCCCGGUGCCGAAGGGAAGCCGUUAAGCCCGCCGCCUGGGGAGUACGGCCGCAAGGCUGAAACUUAAAGGAAUUGGCGGGGGAGUACCACAAGGGGUGGAGCCUGCGGUUUAAUUGGACUCAACGCCGGGAAACUUACCGGGGGAGACAGCUGGAUGAAGGCCAGGCUGAAGACCUUGCUAGACUAGCUGAGAGGUGGUGCAUGGCCGUCGCCAGUUCGUGACGUGAGUUGUCCGCUUAAGUGCGGCAACGAACGAGACCCGCACCCCUAGUUGCCAGCUAUCCUCUCCGGAGGAUAGGGCAUCACUAGGGGGACUGCCGUCGAUGAGACGGAGGAAGGUGCGGGCCACGGCAGGUCAGUAUGCCCCGAUAACCCCCGGGCCACACGCGGGCUACAAUGGCUAGGACAAUGGGUCCCGACCCCGAAAGGGGAAGGUAAUCCCAUAAACCUGGCCGCAGUUGGGAUCGAGGGCUGCAACUCGCCCUCGUGAACGUGGAAUCCCCAGUAACCGCGUGUCAACAUCGCGCGGUGAACACGUCCCUACUCCU